rnacentral:lncRNA from 1 species
AGUGCAGCCACCAAUGCCAGGAAAAAGGACGGGGUGUGCACACCUGCCUCGUAGUAGCAAAGUCACUCUGCUGCUAAAGCAACAGUGAGAGUUCCCUGUCCCAAAGUGUUCUGCCUAUUACUAGUUCUAUCCCUGCCCUGCCCACACAGCAACAUUCACAGCUAAUGGGAAGAAUGGGAAGUGACCUCGCUGUUUGCUUUGAUAAGAAAGAGCCUUGCUUUUAUUACCAGCUAAUCAAAUGAUGUCCAAGGGAUAGGAAGCAAAAUGUUUGUUUUUGAAAAAAGUUAGUGUUCGUGGUCUAAAAAAGCUACAUACAGAUUCCUGUUAACCAGCCAUUAGUAAGGAAGGUAAGUACCCCCCGUUACGUCCAAUCGUGUUGAUUAACGGUCGUGUACAUUCAGCGUGCAGCCAGUGUGCUUCAUGUAUCAGUUUUCUAUGGUUACCAGAAGCCGACAGAAUAAAGAAGUGCAG